rnacentral:rRNA from 1 species
GAUGAACGCUGGCGGCGUGCCUAAUACAUGCAAGUCGAGCGACAACACGAGGAGCUUGCUCCUCUGGCGUUAGCGGCGGACGGGUGAGUAACACGUGGAUAACCUACCUAUAAGACUGGGAUAACUUCGGGAAGCUGGAGCUAAUACCGGAUAAUAUAUUGAACCGCAUGGUUCAAUAGUGAAAGCCGGUUUUGCUGGCACUUAUAGAUGGAUCCGCGCCGGAUUAGCUAGUUGGUAAGGUAACGGCUUACCAAGGCAACGAUGCGUAGCCGACCUGAGAGGGUGAUCGGCCACACUGGAACUGAGACACGGUCCAGACUCCUACGGGAGGCAGCAGUAGGGAAUCUUCGGCAAUGGGCGAAAGCCUGACGGAGCAACGCCGCGUGAGUGAUGAAGGCCUUCGGAUCGUAAAACUCUGUUAUUAGGGAAGAACAAAUGUGUAAGUAACUAUGCACGUCUUGACGGUACCUGAUCAGAAAGCCACGGCUAACUACGUG